rnacentral:rRNA from 1 species
GAUGAACGCUGGCGGCGUGCCUAAUACAUGCAAGUCGAGCGAACGGACGAGAAGCUUGCUUCUCUGAUGUUAGCGGCGGACGGGUGAGUAACACGUGGAUAACCUACCUAUAAGACUGGGAUAACUUCGGGAAACCGGAGCUAAUACCGGAUAAUAUUUUGAACCGCAUGGUUCAAAAGUGAAAGACGGUCUUGCUGUCACUUAUAGAUGGAUCCGCGCUGCAUUAGCUAGUUGGUAAGGUAACGGCUUACCAAGGCAACGAUGCAUAGCCGACCUGAGAGGGUGGCCGGCCCCCAUGGAACUGAGACACGGCCCAGCCCCCGAGGGGGGGCAGCAGGAGGGAAUCUUCCGAAAGGGGCGAAAGCCUGACGGAGCAACGCCGGGGGAGUGAAGAAGGUCUUCGGAUCGUAAAACUUUUUUUUGAGGGAAGAAAAAAUGUGUAAGUAACUGUGCAAAUCUGGACGGUACCAAAAAAGAAAGCCACGGCUAACUACGU